GGAGGGCACUGUGUGUGUGAGGUACCGCCGGGCGGCGAGGAGGGGCUGGAAAUCACUGCCCGGAGCUCCGUGAGGGCUCUGGGGGUGACGCUGCUGUGGUGGGUGCGCGGCAGUCAGUGCCUUCCGUGGAUUUUUAUGGCGCUGUUUCUGGAAAUAAGUCUCUAUUUUUAUUUGUUUUUCGAUGUGCCAGACCCUUUCUGCACAACAGACGUUACAAACUCAGAAUUGGAAUGUCUGCAAUUUCAAUUUUUGAAAAUUGCCCUAGUGGUAAAUGCAGUCUGGCAAGCUGCAUUUAUAUACUAUUCUAAAUUUAGGUAGUUCUAAAUUUCCUGACUAAAAGCAAUUUAGAGAGGAUUGUCGACUACUACAACCUUUCUGAUGUAAAUAUUUCGGUGAUUAAUAGCAACAGAAACACAACUGGAAUUAAAGGCAGAGUGUUGGUCAUGAGGGUCUGGUUUUGAUUUUUUUUUCCUGUAUAAACCAACUUUAUACUUAAAAUCUAGAAUUACUGCUGAAAAGUAUUCUAAUAAUACUUCUCUUUUAUCCCCACAGCAGGAAGAUGGCUUGAAGUAAAGAAGCCUGGUCUUUCCAGGCAGAUGUGACACAACAGGAUGGGGCCAGGUUGCUCUUCUGGGAUGGCCCGAAUCUGAAGCUCUUCACAAGCCCUAUGGAAGGUGGUGAGACAGCAGAGCAGGAGAGUCUCCUGGGUGGUGAUGGUGCAAACAGCUGGUCUGGGGAGGAAGGAAUCCAACAAACCACGUGAGCUUGGGGACUGGUGUUUGUAGACACAGUGGUUUUCUGUCUGAAGGUGCUAAGGAAUGACAAUGGUUACACUGUUCUGAUUACACAAACAUUAAAGUGAUCUCUUUCAAAAAAA